GACGAACGCUGGCGGCGUGCUUAACACAUGCAAGUCGAACGGAAAGGCCCUGCUUUUGUGGGAUGCUCGAGUGGCGAACGGGUGAGUAACACGAGAGUAACCUGCCCUUGACUUUGGGAUAACUUCAGGAAACUGGGGCUAAUACCGGAUAGGAGCUCCUGCUGCAUGGUGGGGGUUGGAAAGUUUCGGCGGUUGGGGAUGGACUCGCGGCUUAUCAGCUUGUUGGUGGGGUAGUGGCUUACCAAGGCUUUGACGGGUAGCCGGCCUGAGAGGGUGACCGGCCACAUUGGGACUGAGAUACGGCCCAGACUCGUAAGGGAGGCAGCAGUGGGGAAUAUUGCACAAUGGGCGGAAGCCUGAUGCAGCAACGCCGCGUGCGGGAUGACGGCCUUCGGGUUGUAAACCGCUUUCGCCUGUGACGAUGCGUGAGUGACGGUAAUGUGUAAAGAAGCACCGGCUAACUACGUG
rnacentral:rRNA from 1 species